GCCUCCGUAGUUCAGUUGGAUAGAACGUCUCCGUCCUAAGGAGAAUGUCGGGAGUUCGAGUCUCUCCGGGGGCG
rnacentral:tRNA from 1 species